UAAAUCAAUAACAAAUAACAAUAGAAUAUAAUUUAUUAUCCAAUCUUAUUGAUUAAAUCAUGACAAGACAUAUAUCUAUUCCGAUAUGAUAAAUGAUUGGUUCAAAAUGAUAGAAGAGAUACAAAUACUUAGGGGUUCAUAUUAUAAGAUUUGGAGGAGUAACAACAUGGGGGUUUGGAACAUACAAGUGGUUGACAAAUAUCACCAGGAUCUUUACAACAACGUGGUAUGGCUUGUACAUUUCCAACUUGUACACACGCAAUUGUAAGUACUAAAACCACAAACUUCAAGAACAUCUUCAAUAAAAAUUCCAUCAAAAUUAGGUAGUCUUGCAAAGAAAACAAUGUGAUUAUAUAAAAGUGAUUUAUAUUUCUAAAAUAUUGCACUUACUUAUAGGCAUAUGGAGAAUACGUCAUACUAAUAUAUGGUAAUACGCUAACGUAAAAAAUUGAAUCCAAUUUUUUAAAACUAUUUUUAUAUGACUUCGAGGUGUUGACCAACUACUAAUAUUUUAAUUGUUUUUUACCAAAUAUUCUAAAUACAUUUAAUCAAAAAAGUUUUUGUCUGUCUUGCUUGCCAAUACUUAUUUGUGACUAAAUAUAUUUAUAUAUGACUGUGAAUAUUUGACUUAUAUGUCCACAAUUAAAUAUCAUGUGUCUUUAUAUAAAAUUUAAAGCACUUAAAAAAAUUAGUACCCGUUCAUUCUUAUAUUUAUUUUUAUAUUUAAAGAAUAAAUUCAACAUAAACAAGACCACAAACAAUUAAAUAUUCGAUUAAGUGUAUGUAAAAUAGAAAAACCACACAUUUUUAAUUGUUUAAUAUAAUAUUGCUCAACAUAUUUUUUAGUACUUUUUUAGAGUAAGACUAUUAUAUUUAUAAAAAGUACAUACUAUUUUAUUGAUAACGAAUAAAAAACCAUAAAAAAUUAAGGUAACUUUUUUUUAUAAUUCUCGUUCAACGUAUUAACUAUUUUAAGGUAACAUUUUUUUUUAUAAUUUUCGGUCAAAUAAAAAUUCAAAACUCUUAAAAUAUUACAAUUGCCAAUGCUGUCCAUUUAAUAUCUUUUUUGAAGGACGGUUCACAUUAUAGCUUUGAUUAUAUAUUUGUUUCUUUUAUAUUUUUUAUUCAUUUCUUCAAUUACCUAUUUUACGCCUAAGUUUAUAUAUUAACUUAUUUAUAGUUCAUUGAAAAAACUAAUCUUGUAUUUUAUAUUUUUUUUAUACUGCGUCAGAUGGAAGGCUUUACAAUUUUUAAUUUUCCUUUGGUUAAUUUUAGUGCAUAUUAUAUUAAUAUAAAAUAUUAAUUUCAAACUUAUUUGCAUUAUUAUCUUAUAAAAAACUACAAAUUUGUGGAAUAACCAAGGAUUGAACUCUAACUGACAAACAACUCGCACCCAUAUAGUCCAACUAGCGAACCCAUUUUAGUUACCUCACCCAUAAAAAAAAAUUAUAAGAGAGAUUUUUUUGAUACAAAAUUAAAUAUUUUUUAAAUGAAUAUUAUUUUCAGAUUUAAAUAUAAAUUAUAUAUAUGUUUAUCUAUUUAUCAUCCUAUACGAGGGACAGUAGUGGUAAAUGUUUGAUAUACUCCACACCGACAAUUCAAAAAGUCUCCCUGUCAGAGUCCAUACCCAUAAUUUAAAAGAAUCUUUAUGCAUGUAUCCUUAUCCACGUGGGAAACAAUGUUUAUAGUUGUAUAAGCAUGUAAGGAAAUUUAAGUACCCUUAUCCAUAUGCAUAUAUCUUGAAAAAUCAAAUGUGUCAAUUUUAAAAUACUUAUCUUUUUAAGAUUUUAAUAAAAUUAAAAAGGAUUUCAAGCUUUUUUGUGGAGAUAUUAAAUACACAAACAUUUUUUAUUAAAACUCUUAAUAUUUUAGUAGUUAUGAUUUUUUAAAAAUAAUAUACAUAAAUAUUAAUUUAAUUGUUUAAAUUAAACUAAAUAACCAUAUAUUGAGUGCGUACAGGGUAUAAUAGGUACUAUGGUACCUGAGUCGCCCCGUGCCUCUUUAAUUUAGUAUAUAAUUAUGCAGCCCCCUGUCCAUAUAAUUUUUAAUGCAUUUCAGCCUAACCGUUAAUUUUUUUUAGGAUUGCUUUUAUAUAUUCAUUAAUGUCAUGUUGAUUCAUAUGAUAUUCUUCUCCUUCGAUUUUAUUAGUUAUAAAAUGGCCUAUCGAGUGAAGAAUGACUACAAAAAUUCUUUUAGAAUAAAAAGACAUGUCAACCAAAAAAUAUCCUGUUGAGACCUUGCUUGCACUUAAACAUAUACGCUCUAAUAAAAUUUACAAUAAAAUUAAAUCAAUAACAAAUAACAAUAUAAUAUAAUUUAUUAUCCAAUUUUAUUGCAAAAAAAACCAUAAACUUCAAGAACAUCUUCAAUAAAAAUUCCAUCAAAAUUAGGUAGUUUUGCAAAAAAAACAAUGUG
rnacentral:lncRNA from 1 species